rnacentral:rRNA from 1 species
AUUGAACGCUGGCGGCAUGCCUUACACAUGCAAGUCGAACGGUAGAGUAGCAAUACUUGAGAGUGGCGAACGGGUGAGUAAUAUAUCGGAACGUGCCCAGUCGUGGAGGAGUAACGUAGCGAAAGCUACGCUAAUACCGCAUACGAUCUAUGGAUGAAAGCGGGGGAUCGCAAGACCUCGCGCGAUUGGAGCGGCCGAUAUCAGAUUAGGUAGUUGGUGAGGUAAAGGCUCACCAAGCCGACGAUCUGUAGCUGGUCUGAGAGGACGACCAGCCACACUGGGACUGAGACACGGCCCAGACUCCUACGGGAGGCAGCAGUGGGGAAUUUUGGGACAAUGGGCGCAAGCCUGAUCCAGCAAUGCCGCGUGCAGGAUGAA